UACGGAGGGUGCUAGCGUUGUUCGGAAUCACUGGGCGUAAAGCGCGUGUAGGCGGCCCACUAAGUCUGAUGUGAAAGCCCGGGGCUCACCCCCGGAAGUGCAUUGGAAACUGGUUGACUCGAGUCCCGGAGAGGAGAGUGGAAUUCCUGGUGUAGCGGUGAAAUGCGUAGAUAUCAGGAGGAACACCGGUGGCGAAGGCGGCUCUCUGGACGGUGACUGACGCUGAGACGCGAAAGCGUGGGGAGCAAACAGG
rnacentral:rRNA from 1 species